AACCUGUUUAGUUCAGUUUGCCUCAAAGCAAAUAACGAACCUCCUAGAAAAAAGUAAAAACACUUUUACUGAAAUAGUAUUAAAUAGUAAACCAGAGAUUUUCAUGUUACAUCAGCUUGCUCCUUGCUCACCAGUGUUUUGCUGUCCACCAUUACCUCGCUUUGAAAGUGAACAAGGUGGAAAGACGGCUGUGGCACAGGACAUGUCUUUAGACAAGGUUGUUUGGCUGAAGCUGAAACUGAGCUGAGAGAUGUACCACGGCAGUGAUGUCAUCAAGGAAGAGGAGGAUCCUCUCCAGCCACUACGUAACAUUGGGAUUAUGAGUUGCCAUCAGUUCCAUAUGCAUGUGCCACGUUGUUUGUCCUCAUUUAUGGUCUAAACUUGAGCUAUCUGAGUGAGGUAAACUACACCUUUGAUGGACUGCAGAAAAUAUUCUUGGACAUAGAACCCAAGAACAUGAUACGCAGCACACAAGUGUACAUUCUGAGUGUCGAGCGCUAAAUAAUUGAUUAAUCAAAGACAGACAUAUAGAUACAGGAUAUGUUUUAUUCUGUUAUUGCUUGUAUUAAAAAUAUUACAGGAUAAUGGAAGGGGCCAUUGUUGACUUAAAUAAGAGAGAAACAGACUUUAAUUCAAAACUGGCCUUUAUGAUUUUCUCUUAACAGCUGAUUCUGUGGUGUAAAUAUUGUGGCACUUAAAUCAACACUGAAAAUGUAAAUGUCAAAUUUUACAAUGGCAGCAAUAGUAAUGGUAAUGUUUGUCUUAAACUGACUUAUGCACUGA